CCUUCGAUAGCUCAGUUGGUAGAGCGGAGGACUGUAAAUCCUUAGGAUCGCUGGUUCCAACUCCGGCUCGAAGGA